ensembl:lncRNA
AGGGACUCUCAAGAGUCUUCCCCAACACCACAGUUCAAAAGCAUCAGUUCUUCAGCACUCAGUUUUCUUUAUACUCCAAAUCUCACACCCAUACGUGACUACUGGAAAAACCACAGCUAAAACUAGAAGGACCUUUGUUGGCAAGCCUCUUAGCUUGCACCUUGCCUACCAUGGGUUCAGCAAACAGUGAGCAUAGUGAGAAAACAGCAAAGCAACUGGUGCUGUGAACAGGAGCAGCAAUACAGACAGCUCAUCUCACCUCCUCCUGCCGAAUGCAGGGUUGAAUUUUGCAUUUGGAGAAGACUCUUGAGGGUUCCUUGGACUGCAAGGAGAUCCAACCAGUCCAUUCUGAAGGAGAACAACCCUGGGAUUUCUUUGGAACAAAUGAUGCUGAAGCUGAAGCUCCAGUACUUUGGACACCUCAUGCGAAGAGCUGACUUAUUGGAAAAGACUCUGAUGCUGGGAGAGAUUGGGGGCAGGAGGAGAAGGGGACGACCCAGGAUGAGAUGGC